rnacentral:rRNA from 1 species
ACGAACGCUGGCGGCGUGCUUAACACAUGCAAGUCGAACGGUGAAGCCCCUUCCUUUUGGUGGGUGUGGAUGAGUGGCGAACGGGUGAGUAACACGUGAGUAACCUGCCCCCUUCUUCUGGAUAACCGCAUGAAAGUGUGGCUAAUACGGGAUAUUCUGUGCCUGCUGCAUGGUGGGUGUGGGAAAGAUGCGCUUUUGGGUGUUUUUGGUGGGGGAUGGGCUCGCGGCCUAUCAGCUUGUUGGUGGGGUGAUGGCCUACCAAGGCGGUGACGGGUAGCCGGCCUGAGAGGGUGGACGGUCACACUGGGACUGAGACACGGCCCAGACUCCUACGGGAGGCAGCAGUGGGGAAUAUUGCACAAUGGGCGCAAGCCUGAUGCAGCGACGCCGCGUGAGGGAUGGAGGCCUUCGGGUUGUAAACCUCUUUCGCCAGUGAAGCAGGCCUGUCCCUUGUGGGUGGGUUGACGGUAGCUGGAUAAGAAGCGCCGGCUAACUACGUG